rnacentral:rRNA from 1 species
CACGGGGGGAGCGAACGUUGUCCGGAAUUAUUGGGCGUAAAGAGCUCGUAGGCGGUUUGUCGCGUCGAAUGUGAAAACCCGGGGCUCAACCCCGGGCCUGCAUUCGAUACUGCCGUGACUAGAGUUCGGUAGGGGAGUGUGGAAUUCCUGGUGGAGCGGUGAAAUGCGCAGAUAUCAGGAGGAACACCCGUAGCGAAGGCGGCACUCUGGGCCGAUACUGACACUGAGGAGCGAAAGCGUGGGGAGCGAACAGG